AGAGUUUGAUCCUGGCUCAGAACGAACGCUGGCGGCAGGCCUAACACAUGCAAGUCGAGCGCCCGCAAGGGAGCGGCAGACGGGUGAGUAACGCGUGGGAACGUGCCUUUAGGUUCGGAAUAACUCAGGGAAACUUGUGCUAAUACCGAAUGUGCCCUUCGGGGGAAAGAUUUAUCGCCUUUAGAGCGGCCCGCGUCUGAUUAGCUAGUUGGUGAGGUAAAGGCUCACCAAGGCGACGAUCAGUAGCUGGUCUGAGAGGAUGAUCAGCCACAUUGGGACUGAGACACGGCCCAAACUCCUACGGGAGGCAGCAGUGGGGAAUCUUGCGCAAUGGGCGAAAGCCUGACGCAGCCAUGCCGCGUGAAUGAUGAAGGUCUUAGGAUUGUAAAAUUCUUUCACCGGGGACGAUAAUGACGGUACCCGGAGAAGAAGCCCCGGCUAACUUCGUGCCAGCAGCCGCGGUAAUACGAAGGGGGCUAGCGUUGCUCGGAAUUACUGGGCGUAAAGGGAGCGUAGGCGGACAUUUAAGUCAGGGGUGAAAUCCCGGGGCUCAACCUCGGAAUUGCCUUUGAUACUGGGUGUCUUGAGUGUGAGAGAGGUAUGUGGAACUCCGAGUGUAGAGGUGAAAUUCGUAGAUAUUCGGAAGAACACCAGUGGCGAAGGCGACAUACUGGCUCAUUACUGACGCUGAGGCUCGAAAGCGUGGGGAGCAAACAGGAUUAGAUACCCUGGUAGUCC
rnacentral:rRNA from 1 species